rnacentral:rRNA from 1 species
CCUACGGGAUGCACCAGUGGGGAAUAUUGGACAAUGGGCGAAAGCCUGAUCCAGCAAUGCCGCGUGUGUGAAGAAGGUCUUCGGAUUGUAAAGCACUUUCGACGGGGACGAUGAUGACGGUACCCGUAGAAGAAGCCCCGGCUAACUUCGUGCCAGCAGCCGCGGUAAUACGAAGGGGGCUAGCGUUGCUCGGAAUGACUGGGCGUAAAGGGCGCGUAGGCGGUUUAUGCAGUCAGAUGUGAAAUCCCCGGGCUUAACCUGGGAACUGCAUUUGAGACGCAUAGACUAGAGGUCGAGAGAGGGUUGUGGUAUUCCCAGUGUAGAGGUGAAAUUCGUAGAUAUUGGGAAGAACACCGGUGGCGAAGGCGGCUUACAGGUCUGCAACUGACGCUGAGGCGCGAAAGCGUGGGGAGCAAACAGGAUUAGAUACCCGUGUAGUC